AUGAAUUAUGAACUAACCCACUUCUUGCAGAACAAAAGGAGUGAAACUGCUAAUUAUGCUGCCUUAAAGCUGGACAUGAGCAAGGUGUACGAUCAAGUCGAAUGGAGUUAUUUAAGAGAUAUGAUGAGGAAAAUGGGAUUUAACACAUGGUGGGUCCGGUUAAUCAUGAACUGUGUUACUACGGUGCGCUAUCAGAUAAAGGUCAACCAUGAUGUAACAAAUGUCAUUACCCCUAGCAGAGGCCUGAGACAAGAAAGGAGCAAACAGAUUCAAGGAAUAAAAGUCUCAAGAAGGGCUCCAAGUGUGAACCAUCUGCUCUUUGCAGAUGAUUCCUUACUACUAAUGAAGGUGGAGGACAGAAGCAUGAAAGAAGUGGAUCAAAUCUUGAAGCAGUAUGCAGAUUGCUCUGGACAAGUAAUUAACAAAGACAAAUCUGCUAGCAUGUUCAGCAAAAAUACUCCUCGGGAGAAGAGACAUGCCACAAUGCAGAUUUUGAACUUGAAUUGUGAAGCCAAAACAGAGAAAUACCUGGGAUUGCCCAUCUAUAUCGGAAAGUCAAAGUCAAAAACAUUUGCAUACCUAAAGGAUAGGAUUUGGAGAAAGAUCCAAGGCUGGAAAGAACGCAUGCUAUCAAUGGCUGGCAAGGAAAUUCUAAUCAAAACGGUGGCACAAUCAGUACCAAUCUAUGCAAUGGCGUGCUUUGAUCUCACCAAAUCUCUAUGUGAUCAAAUGAGCACAAUAAUAUGCAAGUACUGGUGGAGUCAGAUGGACAAAGAAAAUAGAAUCCGCUGGAUCAGUUGGGACAAACUCUCACUUCGGAAGAGGGAUGGUGGAUUGGGCUUCCGAGACUUAUACGCUUUCAACCUGGCAAUGUUGGCUCGCCAAGCUUGGAGGAUAUUGCAUAAUCCAUCCUCUCUAUGUGCCAGAGUGCUCUCAGCGAAAUACUUCCUAGAUGGAAAUAUUCUAAAUGCCAAAGGAGUCUGUGGCAUGUCCUACGUCUGGUGUAGCAUUCUAAAGGGCGUCAAGCUUCUAAAACAGGGUAUAAUAUGGCGAGUGGGGAAUGGAAAUAACAUAGACACCUGGAUUGAUCCUCGGAUCCCAAGAGGCACCACGAGACGCACCAUGACCCACAAAGGUCGACAUCUUGUGAAGAAAGUUUUCGGAGCUGAUGGACCCAAUCAAUGGAGGGUGGGAUGUGGCACUGGUACAAGAAACCUUUUGUCCAGAAGAUGUAGAAGCCAUCUUACAGAUUCCAGUAAAUGGAGAGGAGGAAGACUAUGUGGCCUGGCACUUUGA
rnacentral:rRNA from 1 species